rnacentral:misc_RNA from 1 species
GUGACUGCGGAGGAUCAUUAUUGAAUAAACCUGAUGGGUUGUUGCUGGUUCUCUAGGGAGCAUGUGCACGCCUUGUCAUCUUUAUAUCUCCACCUGUGCACUUUUUGAAAACCUUUCCNGGUCUAUGUUGCUUCNUUAUACCC